UAAACAAGUGUUUUAUGGCACUUUUUAAAAAUCCAUAACCUCCUUUGUGCAAUGUCGGUCGUUCCUUGUGGAUGACCUCAACAUCAACUCAAUUUUUUAAAUUAUUCUUCUGAAAAAUAUUAUGAAUCAAAUUCAAAUA
rnacentral:misc_RNA from 2 species